ACGGCCGCGGUAUUUUGACCGUGCGAAGGUAGCGCAAUCACUUGUCUUUUAAAUGAAGACCUGUAUGAAUGGCACCACGAGGGCUUAACUGUCUCCCUCUCCCAGUCAAUGAAAUUGAUCUCCCCGUGCAGAAGCGGGGAUAAGAACAUAAGACGAGAAGACCCUAUGGAGCUUAAGACGCCAGAACAGCCCACGUUAAACACCCCAAGAUAAAGGAAAAAACCAAGUGGACCCUGCUCUAGUGUUUUUGGUUGGGGCGACCGCGGGGAAAAACUUAACCCCCAUGUGGAAUAAGGAGUACUUUACUCUCAAAUCCAAGAGCUCCCGCUCUAAUAAACAGAAUUUCUGACCAGCAAGAUCCGGCAAUGCCGAUCAACGGACCCGAGUUACCCUAGGGAUAACAGCGCAAUCCUCUUAAAGAGCCCUUAUCGACAAGGGGGUUUACGACCUCGAUGUUGGAUCAGGACAUCCUAAUGGUGC
rnacentral:rRNA from 1 species